rnacentral:rRNA from 1 species
GACGAACGCUGGCGGCGUGCUUAACACAUGCAAGUCGAACGGAAAGGCCCUGCUUUUGUGGGGUGCUCGAGUGGCGAACGGGUGAGUAACACGUGAGUAACCUGCCCUUGACUUUGGGACAACUUCAGGAAACUGGGGCUAAUACCGGAUAGGAGCUCCUGCUGCAUGGUGGGGGUUGGAAAGUUUCGGCGGUUGGGGAUGGACUCGCGGCUUAUCAGCUUGUUGGUGGGGUAGUGGCUUACCAAGGCUUUGACGGGUAGCCGGCCUGAGAGGGUGACCGGCCACAUUGGGACUGAGAUACGGCCCAGACUCCUACGGGAGGCAGCAGUGGGGAAUAUUGCACAAUGGGCGGAAGCCUGAUGCAGCAACGCCGCGUGCGGGAUGACGGCCUUCGGGUUGUAAACCGCUUUCGCCUGUGACGAAGCGUGAGUGACGGUAAUGGGUAAAGAAGCACCGGCUAACUACGUGCCAGCAGCCGCGGUGAUACGUAGGGUGCGAGCGUUGUCCGGAUUUAUUGGGCGUAAAGGGCUCGUAGGUGGUUGAUCGCGUCGGAAGUGUAAUCUUGGGGCUUAACCCUGAGCGUGCUUUCGAUACGGGUUGACUUGAGGAAGGUAGGGGAGAAUGGAAUUCCUGGUGGAGCGGUGGAAUGCGCAGAUAUCAGGAGGAACACCAGUGGCGAAGGCGGUUCUCUGGGCCUUUCCUGACGCUGAGGAGCGGAAGCGUGGGGAGCGAACAGGCUUAGAUACCCUGGUAGUCCACGCUGUAAACGGUGGGUACUAGGUGUGGGGUCCAUUCCACGGGUUCCGUGCCGUAGCUAACGCUUUAAGUACCCCGCCUGGGGAGUACGGCCGCAAGGCUAAAACUCAAAGGAAUUGACGGGGCCCCGCACAAGCGGCGGAGCAUGCGGAUUAAUUCGAUGCAACGCGUAGAACCUUACCUGGGUUUGACAUGGAUCGGGAGUGCUCAGAGAUGGGUGUGCCUCUUUUGGGGUCGGUUCACAGGUGGUGCAUGGCUGUCGUCAGCUCGUGUCGUGAGAUGUCGGGUUAAGUCCCGCAACGAGCGCAACCCUUGUUCACUGUUGCCAGCACGUUAUGGUGGGGACUCAGUGGAGACCGCCGGGGUCAACUCGGAGGAAGGUGGGGAUGACGUCAAGUCAUCAUGCCCCUUAUGUCCAGGGCUUCACGCAUGCUACAAUGGCUGGUACAGAGAGUGGCGAGCCUGUGAGGGUGAGCGAAUCUCGGAAAGCCGGUCUCAGUUCGGAUUGGGGUCUGCAACUCGACCUCAUGAAGUCGGAGUCGCUAGUAAUCGCAGAUCAGCAACGCUGCGGUGAAUACGUUCCCGGG